rnacentral:rRNA from 1 species
AACGAACGCUGGCGGCAGGCCUAACACAUGCAAGUCGAACGCCCCGCAAGGGGAGUGGCAGACGGGUGAGUAACACGUGGGAACCUUCCCUAUACUACGGAAUAGCCCAGGGAAACUUGGAGUAAUACCGUAUACGCCCGAGAGGGGAAAGAUUUAUCGGUAUAGGAUGGGCCCGCGUAGGAUUAGCUAGUUGGUGAGGUAAUGGCUCACCAAGGCGACGAUCCUUAGCUGGUCUGAGAGGACGACCAGCCACACUGGGACUGAGACACGGCCCAGACUCCUACGGGAGGCAGCAGUGGGGAAUAUUGGACAAUGGGCGCAAGCCUGAUCCAGCCAUGCCGCGUGAGUGAUGAAGGCCUUAGGGUUGUAAAGCUCUUUUGCCGGGGACGACAAUGACGGUACCCGGAGAAUAAGUCCCGGCUAACUUCGUGCCAGCAGCCGCGGUAAUAC